rnacentral:rRNA from 1 species
AGUGAACGCUGGCGGUAGGCCUAACACAUGCAAGUCGAACGGCAGCACAGUAAGAGCUUGCUCUUACGGGUGGCGAGUGGCGGACGGGUGAGGAAUACAUCGGAAUCUACUUUUUCGUGGGGGAUAACGUAGCGAAACUUACGCUAAUACCGCAUACGACCUACUGGUGAAAGCAGGGGAUCUUCGGACCUUGCGCGAUUGCAUGAGCCGAUGUCGGAUUAUCUAGUUGGCGGGGUAAAGGCCCACCAAGGCGACGAUCCGUAGCUGGUCUGAGAGGAGGAUCAGCCACACUGGAACUGAGACACGGUCCAGACUACUACGGGAGGCAGCAGUGGGGAAUAUUGGACAAUGGGCGCAAGCCUGAUACAGCCAGACCGAGUGGGUGAAGAAGGCGUUGGGGUUGUAAAGACCUUUUGUGGGGAAAGAAAAGCAGCAGGUUAAUACCCCGCUGUUCUGACGGUACCCAAAGAAUAAGCACCGGCUAACUACGU